rnacentral:rRNA from 1 species
CCUACGGGAGGCUGCAGUGAGGAAUAUUGGUCAAUGGGCGAAAGCCUGAACCAGCCAAGUCGUGUGAGGGAUGACGGUCCUAUGGAUUGUAAACCUCUUUUGUCGGGGAGCAAGGCCCGCCACGUGUGGCGGGAAGGAGAGUACCCGAAGAAAAAGCAUCGGCUAACUCCGUGCCAGCAGCCGCGGUAAUACGGAGGAUGCGAGCGUUAGCCGGAUUUAUUGGGUUUAAAGGGUGCGUAGGCGGAAGGUUAAGUCAGCGGUAAAAUGUCGGUGCUCAACACCGGCCUGCCGUUGAAACUGGUCUUCUUGAGUGAGCGAGAAGUAUGCGGAAUGCGUGGUGUAGCGGUGAAAUGCAUAGAUAUCACGCAGAACUCCGAUUGCGAAGGCAGCAUACCGGCGCUCAACUGACGCUGAGGCACGAAAGCGUGGGGAUCGAACAGGAUUAGAUACCCGGGUAGUC